UGAGGGAAGCUUAUCAGUGAGGCCAUGAGCUGAGUGCAUUUAGCCACUCUAUCCCGUGUCCCCUGGGAAGGUUUAAGACUAGGGCCAAAAGGGGCCCUAAUAGGGUCUUCCCAGAGCUUCGAGGAGGUGAGUUCUGAGAUAAUGGGCUCUGAGCAAGGGCAGACUGGGCAGGAGAGGCCAUGGACCUUGCCCGUAUGGAAGAGCCCAGCAAAUGCCUCCUUAGCCAGAGCUUGGAACAGACUCAUGACCAGCACCCAAGUGAGUUCAAUGUGAGGUGAGUACCCUGCAUGGGGUUCUCAUAACCCAUGCAGACUAUUCUCCCUGUUCU
rnacentral:RNase_P_RNA from 1 species